UACAGAGGGGGCAAGCGUUGUUCGGAAUUACUGGGCGGAAAGCGAGUGUAGGCGGUCCGAUAAGUCGGGUGUGAAAGCCCUGGGCUCAACCCAGGAAGUGCACUCGAAACUGCCGGGCUAGAGUAUCGGAGAGGUUGGUGGAAUUCUCGGUGUAGAGGUGAAAUUCGUAGAUAUCUGGAGGAACACCGGUGGCGAAGGCGGCAUCCUGGACCGGCAUUGACGCUGAGGCGCGAAAGCCAGGGGAGCAAACGGG
rnacentral:rRNA from 1 species